UCUUUCUUUUUCUUAAUGUAGCGCUUUCCAAAAUGCCGGUAUUGUCCCAUCUUGCCGUUACAGCUACCAGCUCAGCUCCUUCCAGGCAGCAUUGCAGCCCACUUUGGGAGACCAAUACGAACUGCAGUGUGUGACUGACAUCCAGGAACGGCAAAUCUUGGUGCAAAUCAAGGUUUCUCUUUCCACCAACUUCUCCACUGGCUGCAUUCAAAGGGGUUCCCAGGAUGGCUC